rnacentral:rRNA from 1 species
GAUGAACGCUGGCGGCGUGCUUAACACAUGCAAGUCGAACGAGAAGUGGAGACGGACACCUUCGGGCGGAAGACUUUACUUCGAGUGGCGGACGGGUGAGUAACGCGUGGGUAACCUGCCUCAUACAGGGGGAUAACAGUUGGAAACGACUGUUAAUACCGCAUAAGACCACAGCGCCGCAUGGUGCGGGGGUAAAAACUCCGGUGGUAUGAGAUGGACCCGCGUUCGAUUAGCCAGUUGGCGGGGUAACGGCCCACCAAAGCGACGAUCGAUAGCCGAUCUGAGAGGAUGACCGGCCACAUUGGGACUGAGACACGGCCCAAACUCCUACGGGAGGCAGCAGUGGGGAAUAUUGCACAAUGGGGGAAACCCUGAUGCAGCGACGCCGCGUGAGUGAAGAAGUAUUUCGGUAUGUAAAGCUCUAUCAGCAGGGAAGAAAAUGACAGUACCUGAGUAAGAAGCCCCGGCUAACUACGUG